rnacentral:rRNA from 1 species
UACAGAGGUCCCGAGCGUUUGUUCGGAUUCAUUGGGCGUAAAGGGUGCGUAGGCGGUCUGCUAAGUUUGAUGUGAAAUUCCGGGGCUCAACCCUGGAAUGGCAUUGAAUACUGGCGGACUAGAGUACCGGAGAGGAAACUGGAAUUUACGGUGUAGCAGUGAAAUGCGUAGAGAUCGUAAGGAAGACCAGUGGCGAAGGCGGCCAUCUGGGACAACACUGACGCUGAGGCACGAAAGCGUGGGGAGCAAACAGG